CUGAGGCUACAAACCUUGCUGUCUCCCUUCGAGUCAUUAGGGUCAAGCAGGGCUUUGUUCAGAAACCUGCCACAUUGGGAAAUCGAAAUAUGCAAUCUUAGAAAGUAGUGGAGCAUCUGCAGGCCCCUUUGAGACACUGCAACUAAUCAACCAUGGCUUGGGACUUUGAUACACCAGCCUCUGAUGGACUUUUGCAUCUGUUUAUCCCUGGUCACUGGUUAAAUAUCAUGUAGUGGACAACUCUAUGAAGUGAUAGAGUAAGGGUUUAUCUGCAUUCUGCAGGAUAGGAAUAUUACAUUUAUUUGGUUUUAAACGUAUUCUGAUUUAAUAAAUUAUGGAUUUGUCUGCCUACCAAA